UGGGGAAUCUUGGACAAUGGGGGCAACCCUGAUCCAGCCAUGCCGCGUGUGUGAAGAAGGCCCUAGGGUUGUAAAGCACUUUCAGUAGGGAGGAAGGCUUCGGGUUAAUACCUUGGAGUACUUGACGUUACCUACAGAAGAAGCACCGGCUAAUUUCGUGCCAGCAGCCGCGGUAAUACGAAAGGUGCGAGCGUUAAUCGGAAUUACUGGGCGUAAAGCGCGCGUAGGCGGUUUGUUAAGUCAGAUGUGAAAGCCCCGGGCUCAACCUGGGAAUUGCAUUUGAAACUGGCAAGCUAGAAUGCAGUAGAGGGAGGUGGAAUUUCCGGUGUAGCGGUGAAAUGCGUAGAGAUCGGAAGGAACACCAGUGGCGAAGGCGGCCUCCUGGACUGACAUUGACGCUGAGGUGCGAAAGCGUGGGGAGCAAACAGG
rnacentral:rRNA from 1 species